rnacentral:rRNA from 1 species
CCUUAGUAACGGCGAGUGAACCGGGAAAAGCUCAAAUUUGAAAUCUGGCUGUCUUCGAUAGUCCGAGUUGUAAUCUAUAGAAGCGUUUUCCGCGCUGAACUGUGUCUAAGUCCCUUGGAACAGGGUAUCAAAGAGGGUGACAAUCCCGUACUUGACACAAUCAUCAGUGCUCUGUGAUACGUUCUCUACGAGUCGAGUUGUUUGGGAAUGCAGCUCAAAAUGGGUGGUAAAUUCCAUCUAAAGCUAAAUAUUGGCGAGAGACCGAUAGCGAACAAGUACCGUGAGGGAAAGAUGAAAAGCACUUUGGAAAGAGAGUUAAACAGUACGUGAAAUUGUUAAAAGGGAAACGAUUGAAGUCAGUCGUGUUUAUUGGAUUCAGCCGGUCUUCGGUGUACUUCCUUUAAACGGGUCAACAUCAGUUUUGUCCGGUGGAUAAAGGCAGUAGGAAUGUGGCUCUCUCGGGAGUGUUAUAGCCUAUUGUCACAUACACUGGAGGAGACUGAGGACUGCAGCUCGCCUUUUGGCCGGGGUUCGCCCACGUUCGAGCUUAGGAUGUUGACAUAAUGGCUUUAAACGACCCGUCUUGAA